rnacentral:rRNA from 1 species
AUUGAACGCUGGCGGCAUGCUUUACACAUGCAAGUCGAACGGUAACAGGCCGCAAGGUGCUGACGAGUGGCGAACGGGUGAGUAAUGCAUCGGAACGUGCCCAGUCGUGGGGGAUAACGCAGCGAAAGCUGCGCUAAUACCGCAUACGAUCUAUGGAUGAAAGCGGGGGACCGAAAGGCCUCGCGCGAUUGGAGCGGCCGAUGUCAGAUUAGGUAGUUGGUGGGGUAAAGGCUCACCAAGCCAACGAUCUGUAGCUGGUCUGAGAGGACGACCAGCCACACUGGGACUGAGAAACGGCCCAGACUCCUACGGGAGGCAGCAGUGGGGAAUUUUGGACAAUGGGCGCAAGCCUGAUCCAGCAAUGCCGCGUGCAGGAAGAAGGCCUUCGGGUUGUAAACUGCUUUUGUACGGAACGAAAAGGCUCUGGUUAAUACCUGGGGCUCAUGACGGUACCGUAAGAAUAAGCACCGGCUAACUACGUGCCAGCCGCCGCGGUAAAAC